GGAGAGGUGGCCGAGUGGCUGAAGGCGGCGGUUUGCUAAACCGUUAUGCGGUUUAACACCGUAUCGAGGGUUCGAAUCCCUUCCUCUCCGCCA
rnacentral:tRNA from 3 species